rnacentral:rRNA from 1 species
GAAAGUAAGCAAGGGCAGACGGUGGAUGCCUUGGCUCUCGGAGGCGACGAAGGACGUGAUAAGCUGCGAAAAGCCCGGGGGAGGCGCAAAUAGCCCUUGAUCCCGGGAUAUCCGAAUGGGGCAACCCGGCAGGCUGAAGGCCUGUCAUCCCGUAAGGGAGGCGAACGUGGGGAACUGAAACAUCUAAGUACCCAUAGGAGGAGAAAAUAAACAAUGAUUCCGUAAGUAGUGGCGAGCGAACACGGAAGAGCCCAAACCCAUGUCGUCUAGGCGACACGGGGGUUGUAGGACCACGACGUGGCAAGAAGGAAGGGAAAUGGAACGACUUGGAAAAGUCGGCCAUAGACGGUGAAAGCCCGGUACAUGACUCCCUUACGAAGCCUAGUGGUAUCCUGAGUAGCGCGGGGCACGAGAAAUCUUGCGUGAAUUAGCGGGGCCCAUCCCGUAAGGCUAAAUACUCCCGAGAGACCGAUAGCGAACCAGUACCGUGAGGGAAAGGUGAAAAGAACCCCGAGCAGGGGAGUGAAAUAGACCCUGAACCCGUCUGCCUACAAGCGGUCGGAGCGUCGUAAUGACGUGACGGCGUGCCUUUUGCAUAAUGAACCUACGAGUUACCUUCCCCGGCAAGGUUAAGUUCUUGAGGAACGGAGCCGAAGCGAAAGCGAGUCUGAACAGGGCGCCAAGUCGGGGGGGGUAGACGCGAAACCGAGUGAUCUACCCUUGGCCAGGUUGAAGGUUGGGUAACACCAACUGGAGGACCGGAUGGGUAAGCGUUGAAAAGCUUUCCAAUGAGCUGAGGGUAGGGGUGAAAGGCUAAUCAAACUCGGAGAUAGCUCGUACUCCCCGAAAUGCAUUUAGGUGCAGCCUCUUUAUAGUAUAUCGUGAGGUAGAGCGACUGAUUGGAUGCGAGGGCUUCACCGCCUAUCAAGUCCAGAUAAACUCCGAAUGCGCGAUAUAUAUUUACAGGGAGUGAGGGCGCGGGUGCUAAGGUCCGUGUCCGAGAGGAGAAGAAUCCAGACCACCGGCUAAGGCCCCCAAAUGAUCGUUAAGUUGAACUAACGAGGUCGGAUCGCAGAGACAGCUAGGAUGUUGGCUUGGAAGCAGCCAUUCAUUUAAAGAGUGCGUAACAGCUCACUAGUCGAGCGAUCUGGCGUGGAUAAUAAUCGGGCAUAAACGAUCUGCCGAAGCCGUGGAUGUCGCAAGACAUGGUAGGGGAGCAUUCCAUGCCGCGUCGAAGAUGAGGGAUGACCCUUGUUGGAGCGCAUGGAAAAGCAAAUGUAGGUAUGAGUAACGAUAAGGGGGGCGAGAAACCCCCCCGCCGAAAGACCAAGGUUUCCUGAUCAACGCUAAUCGGAUCAGGGUGAGUCGGGACCUAAGGCAAAGCCGAACGGCGCCGCCGAUGGAAGAAUGGGUUAAUAUUCCCAUACUGCCUCAUGGAGUGACGUGGAGACGGAGAAGUGACAGUCCUGCCGGCUGACGGAAUAGCCGGUUGAAGGGUGUAGAUAUUGAUUCCCGUAGGCAAAUCCGCGGGGAGAGUCGAACCUGAGAGUAUACGGAGCGCUUGCGCAACGUAAUAUGGACGUAACCAUGCUCCCGAGAAAAUCCGCUAAACUUAUCCAUGCGGCACCCGUACCGUAAACGGACACACGUGGUCGGGUUGAGAAUACUGAGGCGCUCGAGUGAUUCACGGUUAAGGAACUAGGCAAAUUGACCCUGUAACUUCGGGAUAAAGGGUCCUCGUCGUAAGGCGAGGCGCAGAGAAUAGGUCCAGGCAACUGUUUAACAAAAACACAUGGCUGUGCGAAAUGGAAACAUGAGGUAUACAGCCUGACACCUGCCCGGUGCCGGAAGGUUAAGAGGAGAUGUCAUCCGCGAGGAGAAGCGUUGAAUUGAAGCCCCGGUAAACGGCGGCCGUAACUAUAACGGUCCUAAGGUAGCGAAAUUCCUUGUCGGGUAAGUUC